UACGGAGGAUCCGAGCGUUAUCCGGAUUUAUUGGGUUUAAAGGGUGCGUAGGUGGUUUGAUAAGUCAGCGGUGAAAGUUUGCAGCUUAACUGUAAAAAUGCCGUUGAUACUGUAUGUCUUGAGUGUACAAGAGGUGGGCGGAAUUCGUGGUGUAGCGGUGAAAUGCAUAGAUAUCACGCAGAACUCCGAUUGCGAAGGCAGCUUACUAAGCUACAACUGACACUGAAGCACGAAAGCGUGGGGAUCAAAC
rnacentral:rRNA from 1 species